GACGAACGCUGGCGGCGUGCUUAACACAUGCAAGUCGAACGGAAAGGCCCCUUUGGGGGUCCUCGAGUGGCGAACGGGUGAGUAACACGUGAGUAACCUGCCCUUGACUUCGGGAUAACUUCAGGAAACUGGGGCUAAUACCGGAUAGGAAUCCUUGCUGCAUGGUGGGGGUUGGAAAGCUUCGGCGGUUUUGGAUGGACUCGCGGCUUAUCAGCUUGUUGGUGGGGUAGUGGCUUACCAAGGCUUUGACGGGUAGCCGGCCUGAGAGGGCGACCGGCCACAUUGGGACUGAGAUACGGCCCAGACUCCUACGGGAGGCAGCAGUGGGGAAUAUUGCACAAUGGGCGGAAGCCUGAUGCAGCAACGCCGCGGGCGGGAUGACGGCCUUCGGGUUGUAAACCGCGUUCAGCAGGGGCGAAGCUUGUGGUGACGGUACCUGCAGAAGAAGCACCGGCUAACUACGUG
rnacentral:rRNA from 1 species